rnacentral:rRNA from 1 species
UACGUAGGGGGCAAGCGUUGUCCGGAUUUACUGGGCGUAAAGAGCGCGCAGGCGGUCGUUCAAGUCGCGUGUGAAAGCCCCCGGCUCAACUGGGGAGGGUCACGCGAUACUGAUCGACUCGAAGGCAGGAGAGGGUAGUGGAAUUCCCGGUGUAGUGGUGAAAUGCGUAGAUAUCGGGAGGAACACCAGUGGCGAAGGCGGCCUUCUGGGCCUGUCCUGACGCUGAGGCGCGAAAGCGUGGGGAGCGAACCGG